rnacentral:rRNA from 1 species
UACGGAGGGUGCGAGCGUUGUCCGGAAUCACUGGGCGUAAAGGGCGCGUAGGCGGUGCGAGAAGCGUGUGGUGAAAGGCCGGGGCUCAACUCCGGAAUUGCCUUUAAGACUGCAUCGCUAGAAUUGUGGAGAGGUAAGUGGAAUUCCGAGUGUAGAGGUGAAAUUCGUAGAUAUUCGGAAGAACACCAGUGGCGAAGGCGGCUCACUGGUCCGGAUCUGACGCUGAGGCGCGAAAGCGUGGGGAGCAAACAGG